rnacentral:rRNA from 1 species
CCCUUAGAUGUUCUGGGCAGCACGCGCGCUACAAUGGUCUUCGCAAACGGAUGCAUUCUCGAAGGAGAAUGCCAAUCUUGGAAUCUAUGCCUUGGUCGGGACAGUUGAUUGCAAUUUUUCGACUCGAACCAGGAAUUCCUUGUAAUCGUGAUUCAUCACAUCACGAUGAAUACGUCCCUGCCCUUUGUACACACCGCCCGUCGCUCCUACCGAUCGAAGAGUUAGGUGAAUUGUUUUGAUCGAUAAGAUUUGACUAUGGUCAACUCUCGUUGGGAAAUUCUGUGAAUCUGACUGUUUAGAGGAAGGAAAAGUCGUAACA